GGUCACAUUACUUUGAAACACAUGUUCACAUACGAUCAACGAAGUUAAGCAGUGUCGAUCCUGGUCAGUACCAAAUAGGUGGCCGAUUGGGAAUACCAGGUGCUGUAAU